rnacentral:rRNA from 2 species
GCUGAGGAAGUGUGCGCGGGACGGGGUAGAGGUAGGGUGCAAGCGGUGUCGGGAGUUAUUGGGGGUAAAGGGCGUGUAGUGGGUCGUUCACGGUGGGUGUGAAAAACCAGUGCUUAACAAGGGGCCUGCAGUCGGUACGGGCAGACUAGAGUUCGGUAGGGGAGACUGGAACUCCUGGUGUAGCGGUGGAAUGCGCAGAUAUCAGGAAGAACACCGAUGGCGAAGGCAGGUCUCUGGGCCGAUACUGACGCUGAGGAGCGAAAGCGUGGGGAGCGAACAGGAUUAGAUACCCGGGUAGUC